UGCCGGCGACCGGCGACGGGUGCGUAACGCGUAUGUAACCUAACCUUUGGACAGGGGAUAACAUCGAGAAAUUGGUACUAAUACCCCAUAACAUCACCGGAGGCAUCUUACGGUGGUUGAAAACUCAGGUGGUCUAGAGAUGGACAUGCGUUGUAUUAGCUAGGUUGGUGAGGUAACGGCUCACCAAGGCGACGAUACAUAGGGGGACUGAGAGGUCAACCCCCCACAUUGGUACUGAGACACGGACCAAACUCCUACGGAAGGCAGCAG
rnacentral:rRNA from 1 species